GCUUGAGGACCCUCCUUUCUGCUAAAACUGCUAACUUCUGCUGAACGUUCUGCUGCUUCAGAAGGGGAUUCCCAAAUCUCUAUAUAAGCACUGAGAAACAUCUCCUCCUCUGUAUACUCAGUUAUUUCAUCAUCUCUCACCCAAGCUUUUGUCUGUAAUUUGCAUCCGUGUUUAAUCAUGAAGCUAGGGAAUUUCACCUAUUCAAUGUUGCCAACAGCACCGACUGAAGACUAACAACAAAGCCUUCCUUCCACCAUGCAUGCAAGGUUUCAGCACGCUCAUCUCCCUGCAAGCUCUCCCCUCUUCAGCCUUCCAAAGAAGCAGACAGAGAAAGCAUUACUACAGUUCAAAGUGCUACUUUUUGUGGUGAGCAAGUCCAGCAAGGAAGGGAAAACAGAAGACAUCAUAUAAAAAUAUCACCUUUUUCCAGAGAGAGGAAUGGAGGAUUGGUCAAAAAUUACAUAAUACUUCAAUUCUACAAAAUUUAAAGGAAGAAAUCAUGCUUAAUAUUGACAAAGGAUUAUCCCAACAGAUUCCACUCUAUCUUCACAAGCACCACUAGCCACAUGACUAGCCCUAGUCAAAAAUUCUGCCAUCCUGGCUACAUCUAAUGUGAUCUUUAUCCCCAGAUAGACAAAUGUACACCAUGUUCUCUAUCCUGCUUUUCUUCAACACCAUUGCUCAUGCAAUUGUACAUAUGCACAAGGAAAGACUUCACCAGUGGCUGACCAAGUACUGAAAGCCUAUAUGUUCACCUGGCAAAGAAGACACAGCGCAGAGGUAAAGGAGGAACAGCAAACCUGAAAGCUCAUAUUGAAGGAGACUGGCUCUGGUUCAUAUGCAUCUAUACCAGCACAUCAUCAUCCCCUCAUCUCAGGCACUACAGCAAUUUUUAGAGAUACUUCCAGGUUUAAUCAGCCUGGGAGGUCACAGAGCAUUAACCAGCUUCCCAAACCCAACCACGUGCUUUCCCAUUUACGUCCCAACAGAAAUACAGCAGUCUGAGACCACGAACUCCUAAAAUAUGACAAAACUGUUGUUGUGGUACUUCAGAGUCCCACAGACAUUUUUCAGUUGUGUGAAAGUUUUAGGCUCAGUUUUGGUCACUGCUCACUUCUCUACUAAAUUGCAAAUUUGUGUGCCUGGCCAAGAAACAUCAUGUCAUUUCCCAACCAAGAACCCCUCAUGGAGCAAUUCCUCUCCCAGCUCUUCAAGGUACGCAUGUUGCAGCUGUAAGCCACGCUAACUUAUUCUACAUAGCUCUGAGGCUCUAAACUCCUAUCAGCUUUGCUCUGUUGAAGUGUCACUCUGCUAGAACUUUUAACUGCAAACCACCUCAUCUCCUCUAGCCCAAAGAGAACUUUGCCAAUUUCUCCUAUCAGCACACCCUGAAGAACAGAAAAAGCAGAUUCCAUUGCUCCAUGUUUUUGCUCUACAACAGCAGGUUUCUCACUGCUAGAAAAGAAUUCUGCAAGCCUAGAUCAUAUCCUCCCACUGUCUCUAAAGCUAACAGACAGCCUGCUUCAGAGUACACUGUGGGUACGACCACCUGGCUGCUGCUGCACAAGCCCAGAAACUCACAUUGAUCAAAGGCAGACAUCACAACAUACACCCAAUGUAACACUGUAUGAGGUUAAUACUGACAAUGCUGUCACACAGAAAGAACAGUACCACGUUAAUGACAAACACAGAGCUGUGUGAAAGCUAGGUUCAGGAGACAAGACACACUCAAGCUGGUGUCAUUACAACACUACACUCCUCAAUGCCUCCUACUUCCCAACACUAUGCUUGAGUCCAGAAUCAGCUCCCAAGACCCUCUAAGAAAACCAGUGUUCCAGCAGCAGGCGGAACCACAUCUUUAGAGUGCUCAGGCUCUGGGACCAUGCUGCAAUUUUACAAGAGGCCAGCUACAACUCCUCUCAGCAGUGAACAAGAGUCCCUGGGAGGGCUCGCCAGCUUGUGUCCAAUCAUGCCACGACUGUCCCUCUGUAUGUUGGAGUGGAAGAACUGCUCUCCCCUGUUUAAAGCCAAAUGACUACUUUGCUGAAUAGCACUUCAGAUCAGGAACAUAGGAAAUCUCUGCCCAAACCACCAAUAUCCUGUAGAUCAAGAUGACAAACCUGCCAAAAUUGGCACCAGAGAAAGGGCUGUGAGUCCAGAAUACAGCACUUUGGUGAUGUUCUUCAGUUUUCUGUAGGUGCAGGGCACCACCUCUAUGAACCUUUAUGUUUACAUCUCUUCCGAAAUGGUAACAAACAAACAAAUGGAACAACAAGGUGUGUGAAGAACAAGGGGACUAAAGAAGCUUUGUACUUAACAGGAGGAUUUCCUGGGUGAUUUAAUCUUUUUUUCCAGUAUUCUUCCGUAAAUCUCUCAUGCUUCUUGAAUUCCUAUAUUCCAAAAUUUCUUUUCAUUUGUGAAGUCUGACUAGAAUUCACAUUUGUGAAACCAUCUCCUUAACAGUAUUCAAGAAUAAGCAAAUACCAAACAAAAACACUUUCCCUAAGGGAUCAUCAGUAUUUAUCACAAAGUCAUUCAGCUGGCACAACAGUGAAAAAAAGUUGCAUUGUGUAGGGCAGAAAAAAGGAAGCCUUCCAAAAAGGGUACUGCAAGGAUAGCAGUCUUUCUGAUACACGCCUCCUUCUGCAUUACUCCCAUUAUAGCCUUGCGUCUGAAAGUAUUUCUUAAGCUUCAAGGCAGCUAAGCAACUCCUUGCAGCUUGCAGUGCUGUGGUCUGCUGGAAUUGUGUAAUAAGGAAGGUUGAUGCCUGCAGUAUUGGUUUCAGUUUUGCAAUUAUUUUUAUCAAGGUGCAAUAAAAUGAUGCAGAUGCAACACAAUGCUGCAGUGUUGGCACAGAGCAGGGAUGAGAAUUUCCAACUCGAGAAUGUAGCUGCAGGAUUGUUUCUCUGGCAACUUGUACAAGAGCUAGCAAAAAUCAGUCACUGUGCUGCAGAGAGUCCGCAAGAUUUCUCAAAUGUAACAGAAGUCUGUAACAGAACGUACAGACGUGUAACAGAAGUGGAAAUAUUAAAGGAAAUAACUCUCCUGGAAGAAGUGAACUGAUCCCUAUCAGUUCAAGCUCUAAGAAAAGGGAUCAUCAGCAGGCUUACCUACUAUUUUUCUCCAUAUUUCCAAGAACAAGAAAUAUAGGCAACAGCCUCACUUUGGACAAUAAAAAGACCCUGAAUUAAGGAUCAAAUGCUUUCCCAUUAACACAAAUAAAGCCAAUUACGAAAUCAUAUUAUAGAAGUCUCAGUAUGCGUAGGUUGAGGCAACUGAACAUCGGGAGAUAUCCAGUUAUUACUAAUCUGUCACUGUCUGACAAUCAAAGCCACUAGGUCAACAGGUACACACUCCACAGUGACUAAUGACCGCAGUUUGACAAGCCACUUUCCACCAGUCUUGGUCAACUGGGGAGGUCCCAGAUGACUGGAGACUUGUAAACAUGACAUCCAUCUGUAAGCAGGGUCAGAAGGAGGACCCAGGGAUCCACAGGCCUGUCAGCCUGUCCUUGGUACUGGGGAAGGUUACAGAGAAGAUCAUCUUUAGUGUGAUCACAAAGCAUGUGCAGGACAACCAGGUGAUCAGGCCUAUUCAGCAUGGGUUCAUCAAAGACAAGUCAUGCUUGACCAACCUGACCACCUUCAACAACCAGGUGAUCUGCCUGGUGGAUGAGGGAAAGGCUGUGGAUGUAGUCUACUCAGACUUUAGCAAAGCCUUUGACGCUGUCUCCCACAGCAUUAUCCUGAAGAAGCUGCAGCCCAUGGCUUGGACAUAUAUGGUAUACUCUUCACCAGGUAAAAACCUGGAUGACGGGGCCCAGAGAGUUGUCGUGAAUGGAGUUAAAUCCAGCUGGUAACACGUCACUAGUGGUGUUCCCCAGGGGUCAGUACUGGGGCCAUCCCUGUUUAAAAUCUUUACUGAUUGUGUGGAUGAGAGGAUUGAGUGCACCGUCAGUAAGUUUGCAGAUGACAUCAAGCUGGAAAUGCUGAAGGGUAGGUAGGCCCUACAGAGGGAUCUGAGUAGGCUGGACUGCUGGUCUGAGACCAAUUAUAUGAUGUUCAACAUGAUCAAGUGCCAGGUCCUGCACUUUGGUCACAGCAGUCCUCAGCAAUGCUACAGGCUUAGGGCAGAAUGGCUAGAAAGCUGUAUGGUAGAAAAGGAGGUGCUAGCCAACAGACAGCUGAACAUGAGCCAGCAGUGUGCGCAGGUGGCCAAGAAGGCCACUCUUUCUGAUACAAGCCAGAUCCCUGCUGUAGUCAGUAUGACUAGGAAAGAGAUUGUCCCCUCUGUUCUCAGCCCUGGUAAAACAGCACCUUGAGUACUGUAUGCACUGAGGCCACAGAGCAUGUCCAAAGAAUGGUAAUGAAAAAGGGUCUGGAACACAAGUCUUAUGAGGAGCUGCUGAGGGAACCGGGAUUGUUCAGCCUGGAGGAGGCUCAAGAAAGACCAUACUGCUCUCUACAGCUACCUGAAAGGAAGUUGUAGCAAUGUGGGAGUCAGUCUCUUCCCCCAGGUAACUAGGAACAGAAUGAGAGGUAAUAGCCUCAAGUUGCACAUGUGGUUAUCGGGUUGGGUUAUUAGGAAAAAUUUAUUCUCUGAAACAGAGUGGUCCAGUAUUGCAACAUGCUGCUCAGGGAAGCGGUGGAGUCACCGUCACUUGAGGUGUUCAAGAAAUGCACAGAUGUAGCACUUAGGGAUAUGGUACAGUUUGCUUGGUGGUUUGAUUAGAUGAUCCUAGAAGUUUUCCCACAUGUAUAACUCUACAAUUCUAGCAGGUAACUUGCAUGUGCUUGAAAACUUGUGGUAUGUCCGUUAGGAAGACACACGAGGCUGCGCAUUUCCAAGAAUAUUUCAAGAACUCCUCCCAUUAUACAAUGUGGAUUUGUUAUUCAAAUUUUAAUCAUCUUGAUGUCUUGGAGAGAUGUUUUCAACACCAUAGGUUGAGUUGAGUACUCAUCUAAUUUUCACUCAGCCCACAAAAAGAGUUCAAUUCCCUCCAUUCCUCCAAUUUCUGAUUUACGUGUGGCAUUUUUUUUUCUAAGUAUUGCAAACUUUAACUUGAAAACCUUAAAAAAACAUUUCCUACAGAACUCCACCCUCCAUUUCUUAUUUUCAUUUCACUCCUUCAAACAAGACACAGGGAAUGUGAUUAAAUGCUUAGUCAGAAUAGUUCCUUAUUAUAUUGUCUUUAACAGUUAAGAGAAAGCUGAAUCUGGUUCAAAGGCAUACAGAAUUAAUGGCCAUAAACAUUUUAAGCUUUAAAAUUGUGAAUACUUCCAUUCUCUGCUUUAGAAAGGAAUAAAGUUGCUCAAGAAAUCUUCACUGAGGUCAUUACUAUGACUAUGUAGUCUCAGAAAAUUUUAGAAAAUUUUCUAACAGCAUUUAGAAUAAAACCUAAAAACCUUUUACUGUCUGCAACCCCAGUAUUCUACUGUUACAGCACUAUUCUAUAAUAGCAGUAAUUUUCAAACUGGAACUCACAGCAGCCUUUUACCUUGUCAAAAUUUUUUGAAAGCCUAAAUAUUAACUUAAAAAUGUAACAUUCAGCAGUACAUACAAAAUACAACACAAAAGGCCAGAAGAUUAAUAAAAACAGCAUUCAACUGAUUUGGAAGAAUCUUUUUGAGAGUUCAGGGAAAGGAGAUUGACAAAAUGGCAUUUAAAAUGAUUCAGACAAGCUCUCUCCCGCAGAUGAAAAGUAGCAGCUUUCACACUACCACAGGAAAUAAUGGUCACAAGAACUUUUCAUGUUUUCUUAAGAUCCAUCUUACACAUGCCAAGGGAAAAAAAAAAAAAAGUAAGAAAAUGAGAAAAAAAAAGAGAAAAACUACAGCAAAUCAUGUGUUUCUGCUAAGCCCUGUAAAAUUCAGUCAUCUAUUCUUUCAAGAUAGACUGCGCUGUAAAACUUCGGGGUUGAAGAGAAAGGAGAAGGGGGCUACUUUUAUUUGGUUAGAGGACUUAGAAAAAAGCUCUUUCUUCUGAACAUCAUCAUCAAGUAGCACAAAUCACAAGUUAAACUGCCAUAUUCUACAUAAGGGUUUGAAACACAUAUACAAGAACACAGAUCUUUUUUUUUUUUCUGGGACCUUUUUAAAACAUACUUCACUCUGAAUCUUAUAUCAGUCAGUUAAGCCUUACUCUUAUCCAACUCCAUAAGCUCCAUAACAUCACUGCGACAACUAAAGCUUAGCCCCUCUGAUUUGACAUCACUGUGCAGCAAGUAAAACUGCACUCUUGUUAGCGCCAGCCCAAAAAAUCACAACUUCAGGAAUUACCUUGCUGCAUGCCUCCAGUGUGACAAAACAACAGUAAAGGUUCUCCAGAAGAGUCCCAGUCACAAAUGACAACUUUGCAAUUAUUCCAUCAUUUACACCAAUGCAACCCCAUUAAGAUGCUAAUAGGUUUGUGCAGGUAUAACUGAUUGCCACAAGCAAAAAUGGAAACACAAUCCUCUCCUCUGCUUUGUCUCUACAGGGUUCAAAGAAGUUAAAAGCUUUAAAAGAAUUAAGUACAAAAGAGCUGAGAUCUGCUGACUAACUGGCUGCUUCUACUUAUUCAUUCCUCAAAACCCAGUAAUACACCAGAAAAAUUUUAUAUAUCACUUUAUGCAUGCAAUGAUGUUGUUUCUCAUUCUCCAAGAAUCCUCAUGAACCCUAAGUCCCAACUGAAACAGCUCACCCUUUGAAAGAUCACAAGGUUUAAUAUGAGAGCAAACUGGAAAUAUCUGAAGUAUGUGUAUUUUGCCUGUUCAAAUAAAUGCUCACAGAGAGAUAAAAGAACAGUGAGGCCGUAACAAGAACUUGGGAGCAGAGACUCUACCUUCAGAGGCAAGUGCCAACUAUCAAUUUAUUACACCUUGAGGAACUCGUGCUUUGUGUUAGGUGUUCAUGAAUUCUAAUGAGAUUAUUCUAAGAGAUGAAACAGCAGGUUUUUCUCAUUUUAGAUAAAAAUGAAUACACUGGGCAAGAAUUGGAGCCAAGUGAUUCGUUACCUCAUACACAUCAGACCUUCUCGUGACCUUGCUGUUUCAGAGUAAUAAAUCAACAACUGCAUCUUUCAGCAUAACCUCAAGGUCAAUCUACUUUGUACUGUUCUCUAGAAUCAAAGGUGGAAAUAAAUUUUAAAGAAAAAUGUUUGCUUGAGCUUCCUUGGAUAUGGUAGCUGUCACACUA